CCUACGGGAGGCAGCAGUGGGGAAUAUUGCGCAAUGGGCGAAAGCCUGACGCAGCGACGCCGCGUGAGGGAUGAAGGUCUUCGGAUCGUAAACCUCUGUCAGCAGGGAAGAACGGUCACUGUGCUAAUCAGCAGUGAAUUGACGGUACCUGCAAAGGAAGCACCGGCUAACUCCGUGCCAGCAGCCGCGGUAAUACGGAGGGUGCGAGCGUUAAUCGGAAUUACUGGGAGUAAAGCGCGAGUAGGCGGUAUGUCAAGUCAAGGGUGAAAGCCCCGGGCUCAACGUGGGAACUGCCUUUGAAACUGGCAAACUGGAGUGUGUGAGAGGAUAGUGGAAUUCCAGGGGUAGGAGUGAAAUCCGUAGAUAUCUGGAGGAACAUCAGUGGCGAAGGCGACUAUCUGGCACAUAACUGACGCUGAGGAGCGAAAGCGUGGGUAGCAAACAGGAUUAGAUACCCUGGUAGUC
rnacentral:rRNA from 1 species